UUCCUACGGGGGGCUGCAGUUAGGAAUUUUGGGCAAUGGGCGGAAGCCUGACCCAGCAACGCCGCGUGGGUGACGAAGGCCCUCGGGUCGUAAAGCCCUUUUCCCAGGGAAGAUAGUGACGGUACCUGGGGAAUCAGCCCCGGCUAACUACGUGCCAGCAGCCGCGGUAAUACGUAGGGGGCAAGCGUUGUCCGGAUUUAUUGGGCGUAAAGCGCUCGCAGGUGGUUCGUUGCGUCGUGCGUGAAAGACCCCGGCUCAACUGGGGAGUGUCGUGCGAAACGGGCGGACUAGAGGCCAGUAGGGGGAUGCGGAAUUCCGGGUGUAGUGGUGGAAUGCGUAGAGAUCCGGAGGAACACCAGCGGCGAAGGCGGCAUCCUGGACUGGUCCUGACACUCAGGAGCGAAAGCGUGGGGAGCGAUCCGGAUUAGAUACCCCUGUAGUC
rnacentral:rRNA from 1 species